rnacentral:rRNA from 1 species
GACGAACGCUGGCGGCGUGCUUAACACAUGCAAGUCGAACGGAAAGGCCCUGCUUUUGUGGGGUGCUCGAGUGGCGAACGGGUGAGUAACACGUGAGUAACCUGCCCUUUACUUUGGGAUAACUUCAGGAAACUGGGGCGAAUACCGGAUAGGAGCUCCUGCUGCAUGGUGGGGGUUGGAAAGUUUCGGCGGUUGGGGAUGGACUCGCGGCUUAUCAGCUUGUUGGUGGGGUAGUGGCUUACCAAGGCUUUGACGGGUAGCCGGCCUGAGAGGGUGACCGGCCACAUUGGGACUGGGGUACGGCCCAGACUCCUACGGGCGGCAGCAGUGGGGAAUAUUGCACAAUGGGCGGAAGCCUGAUGCAGCAACGCCGCGUGCGGGAUGACGGCCUUCGGGUUGUAACCCGCUUUCGCCUGUGACGAAGCGUGAGUGACGGUAAUGGGUAAAGAAGCACCGGCUAACUACGUG